rnacentral:rRNA from 1 species
GUCGUAACAAGGUCUCCGUAGGUGAACCUGCGGAGGGGUCAUUACACAAAUAUGAAGGCGGGCUGGAACCUCUCGGGGUUACAGCCUUGCUGAAUUAUUCACCCUUGUCUUUUGCGUACUUCUUGUUUCCUUGGUGGGUUCGCCCACCACUAGGACAAACAUAAACCUUUUGUAAUUGCAAUCAGCGUCAGUAACAAAUUAAUAAUUACAACUUUCAACAACGGAUCUCUUGGUUCUGGCAUCGAUGAAGAACGCAGCGAAAUGCGAUAAGUAGUGUGAAUUGCAGAAUUCAGUGAAUCAUCGAAUCUUUGAACGCACAUUGCGCCCUUUGGUAUUCCAAAGGGCAUGCCUGUUCGAGCGUCAUUGGUACCCCCAAGCUUUGCUUGGUGUUGGGCGUCUUGUCUCUAGCUUUGCUGGAGACUCGCCUUAAAGUAAUUGGCAGCCGGCCUACUGGUUUCGGAGCGCAGCACAAGUCGCACUCUCUAUCAGCAAAGGUCUAGCAUCCAUUAAGCCUUUUUUUCAACUUUUGACCUCGGAUCAGGUAGGGAUACCCGCUGAACUUAAGCAUAUCA